UCCGUCCCGCCGAUCCACUCCCAUGGCCGCCCCCGACCCGACCUGGAUGAUGCUCGAUCGUUUCGUCUUCCGCAGGGAUGACGCCGAGUCCUUCCUUGACGAGGACGCCGCCCCCUUCACGAUUGAAGGCGACAUCUCACCGGACGGCAUGUUCUCCAUCGCCUUCCGCAUCGCCAAGCCUCCGGUAACCUCCCGCAUGUACCUCAAAUGGAAGUGCGGCCCUAAGGCAUGCCCUGGGUGCAUUCCCGUGGCAGCGCACCGUGGUGUUCUUCUACUCAGGUUCACCCCUGAGCCGGGGAAGCUCGGCUUUGUGGAGCACUUCUUCAUCUGCAGAAGUCGGUAUGACCCGCUUGACAGCUCGCCCUUUGCACUAGAGCGAAUUCCACUCUGCGCCACGAUAUGGCAUGACGAGGACGGGACAGAGAUACCUAUGCGACGGCUGUUUGGGGAUGACACCGUUGGCGUGUUGUCCCGUGAUGAAGAUUUUGCCAUAGCGCAGCUCGUCCUACGCAGGCCCUUGGUGAAGGCUGAUAAGAUGGAAGCGGAUCUGUGCAUGCUCCGAUCCAAGUCAAAUACCGACUAUACAUGGGAGAUUGAGGAGGGGCUUCCUAUCCUUUACGAAGCGGAUGAAAUCUGUGACUUGGAAGCUUGGGGUACCCAUAGAGUCAUCCCCUUCAACGAAUACUUAUGCUGGGUUAACUAUGGUAUAGGAGGUGUCUUAUUCUGCGAGGUAUUCGAAGAAAGGCCCAAGAUUUCUUACCUGAGGCUGCCCAUACAUAACCGCCGCCUAAGGCAACGCCCUGUACUUGACAGAAAGUGCAGCGUGUGCUUGACGAAAGGCUACUUUGGCGCCCAUGAGUUAACGUUUGUUGAUGUUGAUCGCGAGGAUGGUUACCUUGUCGGCCCACUGAGCCCUGAAACUGGUUUUACUAUUGCUUACCAUGUUCUAAGAAAAACAGGCUAUAGUGGCAUGAAGUGGGAUCUGGUCUUUUUCCUCACAUCUGCUGAAUUGUGGGAUCUCAAUAAAUCUCUGCCACUCGAAGUUCUGACGUUUCCACAUGUAAGCAUGGAUGAGCCUAAUGUGGUACACUUUCUAUUGUCUCAGCCAGUGUCACAUCAACUUGUCAAGGUUUCAGUGGUUUCCAUCGACAUGAUUAGACGCAAAGUGCUCGCAGUAGUUCCAUAUAUUGAAGAGAAUGAUAUCCAAGGCAAAGACCCCCAGAUAGUCUCGCAAGCGUCCAGUUAUCUCCAGUCAUUCCUUCCCUCCGAACUUCCGAAGUUCGUUGAUCCCGCCUGGGACAUAUAUUUAUUUGUAAUUCCCUCUUGAUGAUAACAGAAAGCACUUGCUGUUCUAUGAAGAUAGCAUCAACUCAGUACCAUCUAAGAGGUAAGAAAUGGAGAAUAUGAUCAAUGAGAGGAUGAAAUGGGGGGCCUGGAGCCAAACACAUUGCAUGAUAUUUCCCGCAUGAUAUUUCCCACUGGUAUUUCGGCACAAUAUAUGUUCCACGCCUGCUAGUUUUGUACCUUUGUGUUAUAUGGAGCUGUCAGCUUAGUAAUUUGAUGUUGCUUGAGCUGUGAAGAUUAUGUUCAGUCCAUGGGAUUUGUAGUGCGGUACUUAUGAUGUGUGAAGGGUUUGGUUCAGUAGGGCGUGUAGUUCACAUCGUGGGAACCUCUUGGGUGAGAAUUAAGAAAUCCUGCACCCUGCCUUCACUAAUGAUUUUACGCCUCAUGGUUUUCUGCACACAUGUUUUGCAGAACGAUUAGCUUCCUCCUAGGUCCAUGUCAGAAAUGGAUCCUGUAUUGGCUCACUUACAUGUGAAUUAUGGGAUUGGAGGGGGUAUACAAAUGGCCUUUUUGUGUGCCAAAUGCUGGUUGCAUGAGGCACAGUUUGAUCUGGGAUGAAAUGAUCGUCACCAUGUGGUUCGAUGAGUGGCGUGAGGGUGGAUUAAGCUUGCUAUUUCUGUUUUCUGUGCUCUUUGCAUAUAAUUUUAGCUCAACUGCAUGACACCAGAGCUCAAAGGCUGUAACUUUGUUAUUGGUUUUUAAUUUACUUAUUCGUUCUAUGGAGUACUGGUGGAUGUACUAUCGUUGGCAGGUAAUGUAGAUGUGUCUGUCGUCUAAUUGGAGACCAUGAUAAAUGAAGAGGCACAAAAAUGUGGAAAUUGACUGCUAUGCUUGCCUAACAUCAGUUACAUCUUGGAGAGUCUAGCACCUUGUGGGAGCAUUCAUGUAAUCAUGUUUACACUUUUUUUUGUCAAAAGGCACAACAUUCUUAUUUUGGAUUUUGAUUCGUCACAGGCUGUAUAUGGUUUAUGGUUUAUAGGGACACAAUGUUGAUGGGUUAGUGCAGGGUGAUUUUGGAAGUUUUGAAUUAGUGGUUGCAAUAGUUAUUGUGUUAUUGCUUAUCAGGGCAACUCCAACACGAAUCAGACUCGAUUAUAAGUUGAUUUAUAUUUUAAGUAGUUUUUUAUUUUGUCAAUUCACUGAUUCACUUGCUACCAUUGUCUUGCUUACGGAGUCAAUUGAAUCUGAAUGAACAAGUUCUAAAUUACUCGAAAGCUUUGUUGCACAGCACGACUAAUAGUUAAACGUGGUCACAAUAAUAUUUACUUGUAUAUCUGUCAUUCCGUUAUCUAGUAAUACUGAAAUAGUGUUAGUGGGGCUGUGGAGUAGCAGGAUUUUUUUUUUGUAUUUGUUUUUUUGCACUUUAGUAUUGCAGUAAGAAUACUUGUUUUCAGUAUUUAGUUAAUUCACUUUAUUUCAGUGCUAAUAUAUCAGCACUUUGCUUUUUUUUUUCCUGCAGCAAGCAUGUCUUGGAUUCUCCUGCUGCUCCACCUACUCGUACUGCUGCUUCAACCCAAGUGAACAUAAACACUGCAGAAAUAAUAUAUGACUGUCCUGCAUGUAACACUUUAUUAUCAUGGCUUUAGUGGACAUGUCUAUGAUUGUGAUUUACAGUGGUGUAUUUUGGCUGGCAAGUGCCAAGAUGUCUUUGUGGCAGGAUAUAUGAGAUAUUGUGCCUCAAGAGGUGGGUGAGGCGUGAGAGUUGUAAACACCUCUGCUGG